rnacentral:rRNA from 1 species
UACGAAGGGUGCAAGCGUUACUCGGAAUUAUUGGGCGUAAAGCGCACGUAGGCGGCUUUGCAAGUCCCAUGUGAAAUCCCACGGCUCAACCGUGGAAGUGCAUGGGAAACUGCAGAGCUUGAGUACUUAAGAGGAUCGCGGAAUUCCCGGUGUAGAGGUGAAAUUCGUAGAUAUCGGGAGGAACACCAGUGGCGAAGGCGGCGAUCUGGGAAGAUACUGACGCUGAGGUGCGAAAGCGUGGGGAGCAAACAGG